CGAUGCAGCCAUAUCACCCUGCAGCUCAUAACUUGCUACCCACUGAAGCAAAGUAGGGUUGAGCCUGGUCAGUACCUUGAUGGGAGACCUCCUGGGAAGCUAUGGUUGCUGCUGGAA
rfam:Lepisosteus oculatus linkage group LG3, whole genome shotgun sequence.